UACGGAAGGCAGCAGUGGGGAAUAUUGCACAAUGGGCGAAAGCCUGAUGCAGCUAUGCCGCGUGUAUGAAGAAGGCCUUAGGGUUGUAAAGUACUUUCAUCGGGGAGGAAAAACAAAACUAAUAAUUUUAUUUCUUGACGUUACCCGAAAAAGAAGCACCGGCUAACUCCGUGCCAGCAGCCGCGGUAAUACGGAGGGUGCUAGCGUUAAUCAGAAUUACUGGGCGUAAAGAGCACGUAGGUGGUUUUUUAAGUCAGAUGUGAAAUCCCUGGGCUUAACCUAGGAACUGCAUUUUGAAACUGAAAUACUAGAGUAUCGUAGAGGGAGGUAGAAUUCUAGGUGUAGCGGUGAAAUGCGUAGAUAUCUGGAGGAAUACCUGUGGCGAAAGCGGCCUCCUAAACGAAUACUGACACUGAGGUGCGAAAGGCGUGGGGAGCGAAAACAGGGAUUAGGAUACC
rnacentral:rRNA from 1 species